rnacentral:lncRNA from 1 species
UGAAAACUAUGCUUAUAUUGGAGCUAAAGAUACCAAAUUCAAUCUACAUAUUGUAUUUGUAAUAUAUAAUAGUUUGGGGCAUGUUAGAUAACUAGAUAGUUUUGCAUUGAAAAUUUUUCGUGAAAAUGAACUGACACAUCUGAAUAAGCUUAAACUGAACAGUUUGUUAAUACCAUUGCUAAGAGAUAAAAAACUAAGAGAGUUACAGAAAAAUGGAGAACUCAUGUAUCAAUACUUUCAACAGCUGAUAAACAUCAAAAAUGAAUUGUGCUCUUUUCUGGAAAAAGAACUUCUAGUAGUAGAAAUGGAACAUAUACGAGCAAUUAGUCAUUACUAUGAAAUUUUCUGUGAAGUUAUUGAAACAUUCCAACAAAGAGCUCUACAUAUAUAUAGUCAAUUUUCAAAUCAAAUAGAAUAUAAACAGACAAAGCAUAGCA